rnacentral:piRNA from 1 species
UUCGGUAGUAUAGUGGUCAGUAUCCCCGC